rnacentral:rRNA from 1 species
GUACGUACUGGCAUUGUUGGUUUCUCCCUUCUGACGAACCAUGAUGUCAUUUAUUUGGUGUUGUGGGGAAUCAGGACUGUUACUUUGAAAAAAUUAGAGUGUUUAAAGCAGGCUCACGCUUGAAUACAUUAGCAUGGAAUAAUGAAAUAGGACGUUUGAUUCUAUUUUGUUGGUUUCUAGGAUCGACGUAAUGAUUAAUAGGGAUAGUUGGGGGCAUUAGUAUUCAAUUGUCAGAGGUGAAAUUCUUGGAUUUAUUGAAGACUAACUACUGCGAAAGCAUUUGCCAAGGACGUUUUCAUUAAUCAAGAACGAAAGUUAGGGGAUCGAAGACGAUCAGAUACCGUCGUAGUCUUAACCAUAAACUAUGCCGACUAGGGAUCGGAUGAUGUUAAUUUUUUAAUGACUCAUUCGGCGCCUUACG